AGAGUUUGAUCAUGGCUCAGAACGAACGCUGGCGGCAUGCUACACAUGCAAGUCGAACCUCGGGGCUUCGGCUCGGGGGAGUGGCGGACGGGUGAGUAGCGCGUGGGAACCUGCCCUGUUGUGGGGGAUAACCGAGGGAAACUUCGGCUAAUACCGCAUGCGCCCCGGGCCCUGGUCUUCGGAUUAGGUUUCGGGGGAAAGAUUUAUCGCAGCAGGAGGGGCCCGCGUCGGAUUAGGUAGUUGGUGGGGUAACGGCCUACCAAGCCUAUGAUCCGUAGCUGGUCUGAGAGGAUGAUCAGCCACACUGGGACUGAGACACGGCCCAGACUCCUACGGGAGGCAGCAGUGGGGAAUAUUGGACAAUGGGCGCAAGCCUGAUCCAGCAAUGCCGCGUGAGUGACGAAGGCCUUAGGGUUGUAAGCUCUUUCGCCCGCCGAUGAUGACGGUAGCGGGAGAAGAAGCCCCGGCUAACUUCGUGCCAGCAGCCGCGGUAAUACGAAGGGGGCGAGCGUUGUUCGGAAUCACUGGGCGUAAAGGGCGCGUAGGCGGCCUCUUAGUCGCGUGUGAAAGCCCCGGGCUCACCUGGGAACGGCCNCGAAACGGGAGGGCUGGAGUUCGGGAGAGGAGAGUGGAAUUCCCAGUGUAGAGGUGAAAUUCAGAUAUUGGGAAGAACACCGGUGGCGAAGGCGGCNNNNNGGCCGAGACUAACGCUGAGGCCGAAAGCGUGGGGAGCAAACAGGAUUAGAUACCCUAGUAGUCC
rnacentral:rRNA from 1 species